UACGGGGGGAGCGAGCGUUAUUCGGAAUCAUUGGGCGUAAAGAGUUCGUAGGCGGUCAGAAUAGUCAGAGGUGAAAUCUAACGGCUUAACCGUUAAAUUGCCUUUGAAACUCUCUGACUUGAGUACGUGAGAGGAAAGCGGAAUUCUUGGUGUAGCGGUGAAAUGCGUGGAUAUCAAGAGGAACACCCGUGGCGAAAGCGGCUUUCUGGCACGAUACUGACGCUGAGGAACGAAAGCCAGGGGAGCAAACGGGAUUAGAUACCCCAGUA
rnacentral:rRNA from 1 species